CUCACCAGGUCAGGACACGGUAAGGAUUGACGGACUGAAGGCUCUUUCUCGAUUCCGUGGAAAGUGGUGCAUGGCCGUUUUUGGUUGGUGGAUCGAUCCGUCUGGUUAAUUCCGUUAACGAACGAGACCUCGGCACUCCGAAUAGCGCGGCGGACGUCGCGGCCUCCGGGCCGUCUUCCGCACGAGCUUCUUAGAGGGACCGUCCCCCGCCGGGGAAGGAGGUGCGAGGCAACGACAGGUCUGUGAUGCCCUUAGAUGUUCUGGGCCGCACGCGCAUUACACUGACGCGUCCAACGGGUGACUCCCGACCCGAAGGGGCCGGGGAAUCCGCAAGGCGCGUCGUGAUGGGGAUUGAACGUUGCAAUUGUUGUUCACGAACGAGGAAUUCCUAGUAGGCGCGGGUCAUCAACCCGCGCCGAUUACGUCCCUGCCCUUUGUACACACCGCC
rnacentral:rRNA from 1 species